rnacentral:rRNA from 1 species
GACGAACGCUGGCGGCGUGCCUAAUACAUGCAAGUAGAACGCUGACUACUUUAGCUUGCUAGAGUAGAAGGAGUUGCGAACGGGUGAGUAACGCGUAGGUAACCUGCCUACUAGCGGGGGAUAACUAUUGGAAACGAUAGCUAAUACCGCAUAACAGUGUUUAACACAUGUUAGAUGCUUGAAAGAUGCAAUUGCAUCACUAGUAGAUGGACCUGCGUUGUAUUAGCUAGUUGGUGGGGUAACGGCCCACCAAGGCGACGAUACAUAGCCGACCUGAGAGGGUGAUCGGGCCACACUGGGACUGGGACACGGCCCAGACUCCUACGGGAGGCAGCAGUAGGGAAUCUUCGGGCAAUGGGGGCAACCCUGACCCCAGCAACGCCGCGUGAGUGAAGAAGUAUUUCGGGUAUGUAAAGCUCUAUCAGCAGGG